rnacentral:rRNA from 1 species
AUAUCUAACUUUUUUUGCAUAUCCAAUUAGCGGAGGAAAAGAAACCAACAGGGAUUGCCUCAGUAACGGCGAGUGAAGCGGCAACAGCUCAAAUUUGAAAUCUGGCCCUUUCAGGGCCCGAGUUGUAAUUUGGAGAAGAUGCUUCGGGUGCGGCCCCGGUCUAAGUUCCUUGGAACAGGACGUCACAGAGGGUGAGAAUCCCGUACGUGCCCGGUGGUCGCCCCCGUGUGAAGCUCUUUCGACGAGUCGAGUUGUUUGGGAAUGCAGCUCAAAAUGGGUGGUAAAUUUCAUCUAAAGCUAAAUAUUGGCCAGAGACCGAUAGCGCACAAGUAGAGUGAUCGAAAGAUGAAAAGCACUUUGGAAAGAGAGUUAAACAGUACGUGAAAUUGUUGAAAGGGAAGCGCUUGCAACCAGACUUGCGCGCGGCCGAUCAUCCGGUGUUCGCACCGGUGCACUCGACCGCGCGCAGGCCAGCAUCGGUUUGGGUGGCUGGAGAAAGGCCUCGGGAAUGUGGCUCCCCUCGGGGAGUGUUAUAGCCCGAGGCGCAAUGCAGCCUACCCGGACCGAGGACCGCGCUCGGCUAGGAGCAUGUCGUAAGCGAAAGUGG